rnacentral:rRNA from 1 species
AACGAACGCUGGCGGCAUGCCUAACACAUGCAAGUCGAACGAGACCUUCGGGUCUAGUGGCGCACGGGUGCGUAACGCGUGGGAACCUGCCCUUAGGUUCGGAAUAACUCCCCGAAAGGGGUGCUAAUACCGGAUAAUGUCUUCGGACCAAAGAUUUAUCGCCUUUGGAUGGGCCCGCGUUGGAUUAGCUAGUUGGUAGGGUAAAAGCCUACCAAGGCGACGAUCCAUAGCUGGUCUGAGAGGAUGAUCAGCCACACUGGGACUGAGACACGGCCCAGACACCGCGGGGAGGAAGAGGGGGGGAUUAUGGGAGAGGGGGAGAAGGCUGGACCCAGCAAGGCGGGGUGAGGAAGGAAGCCUUGGGGUUUGAAAACUUUUUUCCCCGGGAAUGAAAAGAAAAGACCGGGAAAAAAAAGCCCCGGCAAACCCCGUC